rnacentral:rRNA from 1 species
AUUGAACGCUGGCGGCAUGCUUUACACAUGCAAGUCGGACGAGUGGCGAACGGGUGAGUAACGCCUCGGAACGUACCGAGUAAUGGGGGAUAACUAUCCGACAGGACAGCUAAUACCGCAUAUUCUUCGAGCGGCCGAUGUCUGAUUAGCUGGUAGGCGGGGUAACGGCCCACCAAGGCGACCAGCAGUAGCGGGUCUGAGAGGAUGAUCCGCCACACUGUGACUGAGACACGGCCCAGACUCCUGCGGGAGGCAGCAGUGGGGAAUUUUGGACAAUGGGCGCAAGCCUGAUCCAGCAAUGCCGCGUGUCUGAAGAAGGCCUUCGGGUUGUAAAGGACUUUUGUCAGGGAAGCGGUACCUGAAGAAGAAGCACCGGGUAACUACGUGCCAGCAGCCGCGGUAAUUC